rnacentral:lncRNA from 1 species
GAAGAGUCCUUAGCGAAGACUCUUAAUUUCCUUUUAUUUUUUCACACAUUCCCUUUACUCCAUGUGCCAUCUGAUGGCUCUUGGGGAUGUAUUGGCACAGAAGUAGAGUCCUUCUGCUUGAAGGCUCUUCCACACCCAAAAAAUUCCAUAUGAAAAAUUUAUUCUUUAUGGAAGUCUAGGGGAUGUCGCGUGGGAUUUUAUGUGCCAAACAUUUUUUCUUCUCCCUUGUCUCUUAAUUCUUACACGCCUAGUAUUAUGGGAUC